rnacentral:rRNA from 1 species
UUGGAUCUCGGGGCGGGGUGAGCGGUCCGCCUCUUUUGGUGUGCACUGGUCGCUCCGCCCUUUCUGUCGGGGACGCGCUCUUGGCCUUCAUUGGCUGGGACGUGGAUUCGGCGAUGUUA